rnacentral:rRNA from 1 species
CCUACGGGAGGCAGCAGUGGGGAAUUUUGCACAAUGGGGGAAACCCUGAUGCAGCGACGCCGCGUGGAGGAUGAAGGCCUUCGGGUUGUAAACUCCUUUUGUAGGGGAAAAUGAUGAUGGUACCCUAUGAAUAAGCCACGGCUAACUCUGUGCCAGCAGCCGCGGUAAGACAGAGGUGGCGAGCGUUGUUCGGAAUUACUGGGCUUAAAGGGCGAGUAGGCGGUGGGACAAGUCUGAUGUGGAAUCCUAAGGCUUAACCAUAGAACUGCAUUAGAAACUGUUUUACUUGAGUCAGUGAGGGGAGGGCGGAAUUCCUGGUGUAGCGGUGAAAUGCGUAGAUAUCAGGAGGAAGGCCGGUGGCGAAGGCGGCCCUCUGGCACUGUACUGACGCUGAGGCGCGAAAGCGUGGGGAGCAAACAGGAUUAGAUACCCCGGUAGUCCAG